GCAGGUGUAGCUCAGUGAUCAGAGCGUCUGCCUUCCAAGCAGAGGGUCGUGGGUUUGACUCCCACUACCUGCUCAA
rnacentral:tRNA from 1 species